rnacentral:rRNA from 1 species
AAAGGAAUAGACGGGGGCCCGCACAAGCGGCGGAGCGUGCGGUUUAAUUCGACGCGACGCGCAAAACCUUACCAGGGCUUGACAUGCCACUGCAGAGCCGGGAAACCGGUUGGCCUUCGAGGGUGUGGCACAGGUGCUGCAUGGCUGUCGUCAGCUCGUGCCGUGAGGUGUUGGGUUAAGUCCCGCAACGAGCGCAACCCCCGCGGGCAGUUAGAUGAUCUGCCCGGACCGCCGGUCGCAAACCGGAGGAAGGUGGGGAUGACGUCAAGUCAGCAUGGCCCUUACGUCCUGGGCGACACGCACGCUACAAUGGCCGGGACAGUGGGCCGCCAAGCCGCGAGGCGGAGCGAAUCCCCCAAACCCGGUCUCAGUUCGGAUCGGGGGCUGCAACCCGCCCCCGUGAAGCCGGAGUCGCUAGUAACCGCGGGUCAGCAGUACCGCGGUGAAUAUGUUCCCGGGCCUUGUACACACCGCCCGU